GGCACUUCCGCUUCCGGUUCAACUUGGCCCGUCCUUAGAUUUCCGCUUCCGGCCUCACGCUCACUCUGACAGUUACAGAUUCUUGCGUUUGGUAACCGAAGCUGGGUAACGGCUGGGCAACGGCUGCACACCCAUCCAGAGGGGCCAGCAUUUCCAGUUUGCUUGAAAUGGGAUCAUCUAGACAUGCUUCUCACCAGCUUUUUCCCCUCAAGCCAGUGGCUGCUAUGUGUGUGGAUACCAUCGUUGUUUCUUCAGUAAAUACCAUCGGAUCCCCACACACUCCAUUGUUUUAAGUGUUGUGGAUACGAAUUACGUGAAGCACAUCAUGUGCAUUUCACUUGGCAGGUUGAAUAAAGGGUGAGCAAGAAAAGAAAAUACGUGAUACGCUAGGUUUUGGUGAAUACACCGGGGAAAAGGUAGACACAGUGGAAGGACACGAGAAUCCCUUGAAAGUAGCAUAACCCCGAACUGAUUGCGUUUUUUCUGUAGAAAGCCCUUAGAAUUAGGUUUACUCCUACACAGUUUACGUACUGAUUGCUCCCCCCUACACACACCUUUUUUUGUUUGUUUGCUCUUUGAGGCAAGGGUCUUACUGUGUAGUCCGGGCAGACCUGGAACUAACUGUGUGGCCAGGCUGCCCUCAAACUCGUGAUCCUUCUGCUUCACCCCCGGAGUGCUAGGAUUACAGGCGCCCACCCUCGAGGCUGGCUUAUUUAUUUCCUCUCUAAAUAUUCUUUUAUAAGAUUUUGGUAUGAAAUUAAGAAUUUUGUAAGAAUUUUAUGGAACUCUGGAUGCAAAGGGCUCCCUUCUAGCUGUGAGUCAGAUGUGACGAUGUUCGCAUUUCCCCCAUUUCCUUUAUAUUCGUACUCUUUAUAUGUAUACCAUUAAUUCCUUUUGCCUCCUCGAGAGUAAGUUGAGGAUAUUAUGUUCAUUAGCCCCACCCCCCCAAAGAACCUCGAGUAUGGAUUUCAUAAUAAAAAGGUCAUUUUCUUGCAGUAAUGACUACAGUUGGGAAAUCUCACUUUCCAGUGCUGUCGUCUAAUACAACAUCCUUGUGCACAUUUUGUUGAUUUUCACAUCUUCCAUAGCUGUUUUUUUUUCACCUUCCAGGAUCCAAUCCAGGAUUGUCUUGCGUUUAGUUGACAUAUCCCUAUAGUAUCUGAUCCGGAACAGUUUUUCAUUCUUUGUUCUUUGUGAUCUUGACAUUUUUGAACCAGGAAGGCCAGGUGUUCUGUGAGUUGCUCAGAAUGUCUCUGAAGUUGGUAUUUCUCCAGGCGAAUUGCAAGUUUGAUGUAUGUAUGUAUACUUAGCAGCAUGUGUAAAUGUGUAGGCAUAUUUGUUAACCUGUGGGAAAGAUACUGCUACACAGGUGUAUACUGAA